CUAACACAUGCAAGUCGAGCGGUAGAGAGAAGCUUGCUUCUCUUGAGAGCGGCGGACGGGUGAGUAAUGCCUAGGAAUCUGCCUGGUAGUGGGGGAUAACGUUCGGAAACGGACGCUAAUACCGCAUACGUCCUACGGGAGAAAGCAGGGGACCUUCGGGCCUUGCGCUAUCAGAUGAGCCUAGGUCGGAUUAGCUAGUUGGUGAGGUAAUGGCUCACCAAGGCGACGAUCCGUAACUGGUCUGAGAGGAUGAUCAGUCACACUGGAACUGAGACACGGUCCAGACUCCUACGGGAGGCAGCAGUGGGGAAUAUUGGACAAUGGGCGAAAGCCUGAUCCAGCCAUGCCGCGUGUGUGAAGAAGGUCUUCGGAUUGUAAAGCACUUUAAGUUGGGAGGAAGGG
rnacentral:rRNA from 1 species